UACGUAGGGCGCAAGCGUUGUCCGGAUUUAUUGGGCGUAAAGAGCUCGUAGGCGGUUUGUCGCGUCUUCCGUGAAAACUGGGGGCUUAACUUCCAGCUUGCGGUGGAUACGGGCUGACUGGAGUGCGGCAGGGGAGACUGGAAUUCCUGGUGUAGCGGUGAAAUGCGCAGAUAUCAGGAGGAACACCGGUGGCGAAGGCAGGUCUCUGGGCCAUUACUGACACUGAGAAGCGAAAGCAUGGGGAGCGAACAGG
rnacentral:rRNA from 1 species